rnacentral:lncRNA from 1 species
GGACUGCAGGCCUCUGCGAUUCCCGUAACGCGGCUCCCGGCGUCCGGGAUUCCGGAGGCUGAGCCUGGUCGCCUUUCCUAGACUAGAUCGAAGGCUUCCCCGCCGCACUUGGGUGGGUGGCCGGAACGGAAAGUUCCAUUUUCUCUAGGGUAAUGGGUCGCGGACAGCAACCCAGGUGCCUCCCGCGACCCCUCUCCCCGGACCUCGGCUGUCUCCCUGGGCUGUCUUCCCCAGAGGGCCUGCGAGCCUCCGGCGACUGCUAGGAGGCCCUUGGGACUCUGGAGGCAAGGGAACUCCCUGGGGACAGGGCAGGACUUAGUGGCCCUGACUGUACUCGCCCAUAGUGACCGCUUCGGACCCAGGCUUAAGUAAACGAACCUUGCUACUGUGCAAUUUUUGUUGUUGUUAGUAAAUGAGUUUGGGUGUCAUUGAUUGAUCCGUGAACUGGUGACCUGCCAAGAAACUGUUAUCUUUUUGCGGUUUGAGUCGCCUGAUGUGUGAUUAGAAAUACCAAGGAAAAACCUAUUUCAUUGUAAUCCACCACCCUUCCCUUGAUUGGAAAACGACCUUAAGGCUGCAAUGUGCGUGAGUGCACGUGUGUGAUGUGUGUAUGUGUGUAGUGUGUAUACAAGCAAGUUGAGAAACUUAAAAGAUAAGGGAUGUGUAACUGUAAAGAAACACUCCAAUUUGCAUUGGUUAUCUUUUACUGAGCACGGAGCCCGCCCUUGGAGUGCAAUUGAUAUAAUAUAUAAUCAGUGUAACUCCACUGAUGGAAAUUGAUUUUCUCAUUCCCAACAUCUACCUUUUGUUUUGCUCUAAAGGAGACAAAUGACAGGAAGCUGGACGGAUGGAGGGGUGUGUGGGAGAAGUUGAGGGAACAGC